rnacentral:rRNA from 1 species
GCACAAGCAGCGGAGCGUGUGGUUAAUUCGAUGCUACACGAAGAACCUUACCUGGGCUUGACAUGUACGUCGUAGGGAACCGAAAGGUAACCGAUCCUUCGGGAAGCGUACACAGGUGCUGCAUGGCUGUCGUCAGCUCGUGCCGUGAGGUGUUCGGUUAAGUCCGACAACGAGCGCAACCCUUGUUGCCAGUUAUACUUUACUGGCGAGACUGCUGGCAUAUAACCAGAGGAAGUGGGAUGACGUCAAGUCAGUAUGGCCUUUAUGUCCAGGGCUACACACACGCUACAAUGGCCGGUACAGAGGGUAGCCAAGCCGCGAGGCGGAGCCAAUCCCAGAAAGCCGGUCUCAGUUCAGAUUGCAGGCUGCAACCCGCCUGCAUGAAGUCGGAGUUGCUAGUAACCGCAGGUCAGCUAUACUGCGGUGAAUACGUUCCCGGGUCUU